GUGCGGAAAGAAAUGAUAAGGGUAUUGAAAAAGGUACGACAAGAAGUGAUAGGGGUAUUGAUACAGAAAUGGAUAUACAUGGUACAAGUUGCAAUAAUACUAACAAAUAUAAUAAACGAGAAAAAAGAAAAAAAAUUAAUCACAAAUGUAACAAUAGUACUAGUAAUUUUAGUGAUAAAAGUGUUAAUACAAAAAAAACGAUCGUAUAUUACGAACUUUAUCUUGUUCGAUUUACUUGCGACAUUAUUAUAAAUAUGAAUAAUAAAUUAAAUAUAAUUGUUAAUGGUUCAUCAGAUAGUGUUUUUUUAAAACGGUUAUUAUCACUUGAUUAUUUUUUUCAGUUUGUCCCCUAUAAAGAAAAUGAAAUUAUGUUCAAACAUAAUUUAUUAAUACAUAAAAAUGAGACAAAUACUUACCAAAAGAGUGCCACUACUUCCCCUGGCACUACUACUCCUCCUACCACUACUCAAACCAACAGUAUUAGUAGUAGUAAUCUUGAUGGUAAUAGUACUAGCUACAACAAUAAUAAUAAACAUAAUGACAAUAUAAUAUAUAUAAAUAAUAUAUACGGAUUAAAUAGUAACGAUUUAAUAAAAAUAAAAAUUUGUAUAAGUAGUAUGAAUGUUCUUUUUAAUUUUUAUGACAAUAGGAAUGGUCCAUGGUCAAAAGAAGAAGAUACAGGAGGAUCAGAAAACCAAACUGUAAAUAUACAACAAAAAAUUAAUUUAAGUCAGGUUGAAUUUUCAUUUUUUACUUUUCAUUACUUAAAUGAUAAAAUGCUUGAGGAAAAAAAAAAUUGUUUACAGUUUUUUAAUCCAUUGGACAUAGUACAGGUAAAAAAUGAGAAAAAAAAAAAAAAAAAAAAAAAAAAAAAAGUACCAUUGGUGGUGAUGGAAUGCUUGCAAAAUAUCAGUAUUAUAAUGGGGUAAAAAUGUAUGGGUCAUAUACAAACAUAAGUAAUGGUACGAAAACUAUCUUACAUAAUGGUAAGGAAAACAGUGUUGUUAAUUUAAAAAAGAAAAAGAGAAAAAGUGAUAUAAAAGGCCAAUGUUA
ensembl:lncRNA